rnacentral:hammerhead_ribozyme from 1 species
CUGAUGAAGAGUCCCAAAAUAGGACGAAACAGCUGUCUAG